UACGUAGGGUGCAAGCGUUGUCCGGAAUUAUUGGGCGUAAAGAGCUCGUAGGCGGUCUGUCGCGUCGGCUGUGAAAACCCGGGGCUCAACCCCGGGCCUGCAGUCGAUACGGGCAGACUAGAGUGCGGUAGGGGAGACUGGAAUUCCUGGUGUAGCGGUGAAAUGCGCAGAUAUCAGGAGGAACACCGGUGGCGAAGGCGGGUCUCUGGGCCGUAACUGACGCUGAGGAGCGAAAGCGUGGGGGGAGCGAACAGG
rnacentral:rRNA from 1 species